rnacentral:SRP_RNA from 1 species
GCCAGGCAUGGUGGCGCAUGCCUGUAGUCUCAGCUACUUGGGGAGGCUGAGGCAGGAGGAUCACCUGAGCCCAGGAGGUCAAGGCUGCCCUGAGCUGUGAUCAUGCUACUACACUCCAGCCUGGGCAAUAGAGUGAGACCCUGCCUCAA